rnacentral:lncRNA from 1 species
AUGAGAGAGAUCUUCAACCACUGGCAUGCCACAAAUAUAAAUUCCUUGGGCCAUAUCCCCACAGGUUGGAAACUGUCUAUCAUAGUACCAAUCUUUAAGAAAGGAGACAAAAAAGAUCCAACUAAUUAUAGGCCUAUUAAUUUGAUUGACAUUGUGGCCAAACUUUAUGCCAAAUACCUCCUGUGUAAGCUGAAGAGCUGGGUGGCUUCANAUGAUCUCUUAGCAGAGGAACAAUCUGAGUUUCAUCCUGGUCGUUCCCAUCUGAUUGUAAAAUAUGCCUCUAAGGGUGGACAACUUUUUUCAGCUUUUAUUGACUUUAACGCAGAUUUUUAUUCAAUACACAGAGGUAUACUCUGGAAAAAGUUAAAGGCUCUCAAUAUUGAACNCAGACUACUGUUCAUUAAGUCCUUGUACACUAAGACCAGCUUAAGAAUCCCUAUGGGCAUUCAUGGAUCCUUGACUCNUGAAAUUCCAACCUAUAAAGGGAUAAGACAAGGUUGCAUUCUUGCCCCUAUGUUAUCCAAUUUGUAUGUAAAUAACAUGCCAAAGAGCUUGCAGUUCCAUGAGGCCCAUAGGCCCAAAGUUCUGGACAGACACAUCAGCGUUUUACUUUAUGCAGAUGAUAUAGUCUUGUUUGCACAGACUAAGGUUGGGCUUAAAAGGCUUUUACAGAAACUCAACUUAUACUGCAAGGAUAACUUCCUACAUAUAAAUAAAAAUAAAUCAAAGAUGGUGGUGUUUGGGAGAAAGAAAAGAAGAUAUGAAUGGUCCCUAGAUGGGGAUACCAUUGAGCAAGUUAGUUGCUAUUCUUAUUUGGGGGUUGUCUUCUCCGCAACUAGUUCUUGGUCCCUGCAGUUGAGGAAUUGUGUUCUAAGAGCCUUGGCUGGGCUGAAUUCUGUAUACAAUUUGUUUAAUUAUAGACAUCCAGGCUCCCUGACUCCCUUGCUUACAGUAUAUAGAGCUAAACAUAUUCCAUUGUUAACUUCUGGGGCAGAAGUUUGGGGUUUUUCAAAUAUCUCUACGCUGGAACAAACCCCACUUAAAAACAAACUUUUUAAGGUGGAUACUGGGUGUUAA